rnacentral:rRNA from 1 species
ACAGCAGUAGCCACGGUAAAACGUAGGUGGCAAGCGUUGUCCGGAAUUAUUGGGCGUAAAGGGCUCGCAGGCGGUUUCUUAAGUCUGAUGUGAGAGCCCCCGGCUCAACCGGGGAGGGUCAUUGGAAACUGGGAAACUUGAGUGCAGAAGAGGAGAGUGGAAUUCCACGUGUAGCGGUGAAAUGCGUAGAGAUGUGGAGGAACACCAGUGGCGAAGGCGACUCUCUGGUCUGUAACUGACGCUGAGGAGCGAAAGCGUGGGGAGCGAACAGGAUUAGAUACCCGUGUAGUCCCUGUCUCUUAUAU